AUUACUGGUACGAUGAGGAGUGUCCCGAAAUAUGAUGAGAGAGAGGCCGAAAUACGUGAGUGCUGUCGAGGACAUGGACCUCAGCGAUUGUCAUGGACGAAGCGCGGCAGCUCUGGCACCUCCCUAUUAUUGUAACUCUUCUAGUACUAAACUCAAAAUAACUAUUGUGAAUCUUGAAUACUUUGAAUAGGUUGUCUAGUAGGCAUGUAAUAGCCUGCCUCUCACUUCUUUUUUUGACUUGCUACCAGCCAGACUGCCGCUUCGCUAAAUAUUCCAUUUUUGAAAUUCCACUAAUUUGUAAUCGCUAAACAAAAACCGUAAUUAAAGAAAACUUGUAUGAAUUUAAAGGAAGCAGUUGCGUUUUUCUUUACUCAUUGUCCAACUCACUCCAGUAAUCAUGGAUUCGUGAUCAUGGCGCCCGAGCAAAAAUUUUAAAAAUUCAGAAAAUAUCACAAUUGGUAACCCUCCCUCUUAAUAAAGUACAAACUUAUGUACAUAUAUAUUUACAUACACACAAAGCACAUAAGGAAGCUCUCACAAAAAAUCUUCAAAAGCGAAGCGGUAAACUUCUUGGCAUUAGCUGGCAAACAAAAAGUUACGGUCAGCGGUCGCGUGCGGAUGUGCUACUCAUUUCGGUGCGGUGUAUGUAAAAUAAAUCCAACUAAAAAACAAUUAAAAGUGAAGACUAUUAAAAACAAUUAUAAGUGAAUAAAAACAAAAAAAAAACUCGAAUUAAAACAAAAAGUUAAUUUAAAGUGCGAAGUGAAAUAUAAACUAUUAAACUAAUAGACAAAAGGUCUAAGCAAAACAAAAAAUAAUAAAAUUUUCACGGCGCUAACAGAAUACCUCCGCCCCCCUUAGCAAAAAAUAAAAAAAUAAAAUUUUCACGGCGCUAGCAGAAUACCUUCGCCUCCCCUUAGCAAAAAAAAAUAUAAUUUUCACGGCGCUAGCAGAAUACCUGCGCCCCCCCUUAACAAAAAAAAAUAUAUAUAUAUUUUCACAGCAGGCGGAGCAGCCGCACGAAGCAGCAAACUCCCGGACGGUACAGUCUCAAAGGUGGUAAAAAAAAAUAAAAUAAGGAUGCCAAAAUCCAGAGAGGAGUUAUCCAAGUGUCGGCUCUGUUGUCGCAACCACUCGUUGUAGAUCUGCAAAGCCUUCCUCGCCAUGACGCCGGGCGAACGAUUGGAAUCAGCACGGGUGCAUCACUACUGUGUGAACUUCCUGGCCACCUCCCAUGCCACUGGGUCGUUCGACUCCCGACGCAGUUGUCGUCGAUGUGGUCGAGCACAUCACACACUGCUCCACCGCACCUUCUCGCCUCCACCAAGCCGCAAAAUUUAAAUCAAGGAGAGGCAUCCGAAGGGCCGCUUCUAGCCUCCAAGCCCGAAUUGAGCGCGCGAGGAAGAUGAAAAAAUUGAUCUCCAAGACAUUGGCAACGUUGGAGGAGCUUCAGGAGUUGUUGCUGCUCACCACUCCGCAGGCCCGCCGGCAUGUCGAGGACAUGGACCUCAGCGAGGCUUCAGUUUAAAUUUGUUUUGUUUGUAAAUAUUGUCAUGGACGAAGCGCGGCAGCUCUGGCACCUCCCUAUUAUUGUAACUCUUCUAGUACUAAACUCAAAAUAACUAUUGUGAAUCUUGAAUACUCUGAAUAGGUUGCCUAGUAGGCACGUAAUAGGCUGCCUCUCACUUCUUUUUUUGACUUGCUACCAGCCAGACUGCCGCUUCGCUAAAUAUUCCAUUUUUGAAAUUCCACUAAUUUGUAAUCGCUAAACAAAAACCGUAAUUAAAGAAAACUUGUAUGAAUUUAAAGAAA
rnacentral:lncRNA from 1 species